AGCAGAGGUUGCUUAAGUGAAUGGGGAGAUGAUGAGAUCCUGGUAUUUGUCUGUGCAGGAUGCAGGAUUACAGGCUGGGCUGUUCUCUCAGGGAUUACAGUCUGCACUGUGUUAGAAGAAGCACGGGAAGCUUUGGAAGAAACUCACCAAUUGACUCCAUUCACAGACAGGAUCAAGGGGCAGGAGUGAUGAAUGGAUGAAUGUCUCAUUCACUUUCUAGAUGUCUGCAGAACAGCAAUCAGGUUGAGUCUCCCCUAAUCUCUUUGGCCAUAAAACAAUGAAAGAAGAUUAACCAAGGUUAAUGUAGCAGAAGAAUUACAUCCCAUGCCACCAUCACCACCAAAGAACUACUAGAUGUUGUCCAAUAAAUCCUGAAUAAGUAAAUUUGGCAAAUGAUGUAUAAAGGCUCUUCUUCCAUUCAAAAGCCUCUCAACCGAGGUUAACAAGAUUGUCGAUAUUGAACUUCUUGAUGGAAAAUAAAGAAAAUUGGCCUUCUGGGGGGCAUCAAGC